AUUGAACGCUGGCGGCAGGCCUAACACAUGCAAGUCGAGCGAGCGGCGCACGGGUGAGUAAUAUCUGGGAAACUCCCCGCUGGAGGGGGGUCACUACUGGGAAAUGUAUGUAAUACCUCAUACCAUCAGAUGUGCCCAGAUGGGAUUAGCUAGUCGGUGGGGUAACGGCUCACCUAGGCGACGAGCCCUAGCUGGUCUGAGAGGAUGAUCAGCCACACUGGGACUGAGACACGGUCCAGACUCCUACGUGAGGCAGCAGUGGAGAAUAUUGCACAAGGGGCGGAAGCCUGAUGCAGCCAAGCCGCGUGUGUGAAGAAGGCCUUCGGGUUGUAAAGGACUUUCAGCGGGGAGGCGUUACCCGCAGAAGAAGCACCGGCUAACUCCGUGCCAGCAGCCGCGGUAAUAC
rnacentral:rRNA from 1 species